rnacentral:rRNA from 1 species
CCUACGGGGGGCUGCAGUGGGGAAUAUUGCACAAUGGGCGCAAGCCUGAUGCAGCCAUGCCGCGUGUGUGAAGAAGGCCUUCGGGUUGUAAAGCACUUUCAGCGGGGAGGAAGGCGGUGAGGUUAAUAACCUCAUCGAUUGACGUUACCCGCAGAAGAAGCACCGGCUAACUCCGUGCCAGCAGCCGCGGUAAUACGGAGGGUGCAAGCGUUAAUCGGAAUUACUGGGCGUAAAGCGCACGCAGGCGGUCUGUCAAGUCGGAUGUGAAAUCCCCGGGCUCAACCUGGGAACUGCAUUCGAAACUGGCAGGCUAGAGUCAUGUAGAGGGGGGUAGAAUUCCAGGUGUAGCGGUGAAAUGCGUAGAGAUCUGGAGGAAUACCGGUGGCGAAGGCGGCCCCCUGGACAAAGACUGACGCUCAGGUGCGAAAGCGUGGGGAGCAAACAGGAUUAGAUACCCGAGUAGUC